rnacentral:rRNA from 1 species
CAAAGAACUUUGAAGAGAGAGUUCAAAGGACGUGAAACCGUAUGGUGAAUAAACGAACUGUAGGCUCUAUUGGCGUUGAUUCAGCACUGCUCUUGUAGUGUGCCUUUCUGCGCCAGUUCUGACGGGAUAACCGAUGCUUGAACGUUCGAGCAGAGCGCUGCUCGCAGUGGCUUCUCGUGCUGGAUUGUAUCGGUGUCUUUGCUAGCUUUGUGAGCGACAAUGUCAAGCUAGGACGCUUUCUAUGUGUAGCUCAGGUUGGGCAUGGCUAGCCUUCUUUGUUUGUCGUUGCUGACUAAGUUUCAGAAUAUGAGUUGUACAGUUCGACCCGUCUUGAAACACGGACCAAGGAGUCUAAAUUGUGCGCAAGCCAUUGGGUUAAAAACCCACAGGCGAAACGAAAGUAAUUCGUGGGAUGUUUCCGCACCUCGAUCGUGUGCAGUGAUUACACUGCGCCCAGAAAGAGUGCACAGAUUAGUACCCGAAAGAUGGUGAACUAUGCUUGAGCAGGAUGAAGCCAGAGGAAACUCUGGUGGAAGUCCGAAGCGGUUCUGACGUGCAAAUCGAUCGUCAGACUUGAGUAUAGGGGCGAAAGACUAAUCGAACCAUC